UGUCUUCAAGCCCUUGAAAGAGCCUUCUCAGCCUCUUGUUUAUCUUAAUAAUAACUAUUCGUGACAUUGUUUGGUGGACAGAGUUACCGGUUUUGUGUUGGUGGGAGGUCCCAUAGAAUUAGUUGAGAUACACACAAGUUGACACGGGCACCCCAUGGUUAUCAAAAAAGUAUAUCUAUACUUUGCCAUAGCUCUAAACUCCAAGUACCCCCGAUAGGCUGAUGCAUAAUCCUUUUUUCCCCCUAAAGAAUACUGGAAUGAAAUGGGUCCGAAUGGAGCAGAGUAGAUAAUACUUAUAUAGAAUAUUCAUAUAGCUGACCAAAAUUUAUG
rnacentral:misc_RNA from 1 species